CCUACGGGAGGCAGCAGUGGGGAAUAUUGGGCAAUGGACGCAAGUCUGACCCAGCAACGCCGCGUGAAGGAAGAAGGCUUUCGGGUUGUAAACUUCUUUUAAGGGGGAAGAGAAGAAGACGGUACCUCUUGAACAAGCCACGGCAAACUACGUGCCAGCAGCCGCGGUAAUACGUAGGUGGCAAGCGUUGUCCGGAUUUACUGGGUGUAAAGGGCGUGUAGCCGGGAAGACAAGUCAGAUGUGAAAACCACGGGCUCAACCCGUGAACUGCAUUUGAAACUGUUUCCCUUGAGUGUCGGAGAGGUAAUCGGAAUUCCUGGUGUAGCGGUGAAAUGCGUAGAUAUUAGGAAGAACACCAGUGGCGAAGGCGGAUUACUGGACGAUAACUGACGGUGAGGCGCGAAAGCGUGGGGAGCAAACAGGAUUAGAUACCCUAGUAGUC
rnacentral:rRNA from 1 species